AACCCCUUCAAAACUAAUAUUUAUAUUGGAUAUGCUGAUAGACGUGAACAUACAGAUGGACGAUGGACAAAGUAGAGGGUCUGAUUCUCCUAUCACGGCACAAUCAACUUAGUCAAGCAAGUGAAGCUGACAUGGUUGAGCUACAGAAGUGUUUGCAACACAAGUCCUGCACUACAGCUCACUUCAUUCUCUCAUUCAAUAGGAGGCAGGGGUCACACACACACAGAGCAUUCGUGGAGCUAACUGUACUGGCAUCCUGGACUGUCCUGAGAUGUGCCAUCCUGGCUCUGUGAGAGCUCUUUAUUUCAGCCAUCAGGUUUCAGCUAUAAAUCUUUGUGAGUCUUCUUAAAGUCCUGGCACAAGAAUACACACUCCCUCCAUGAGAAAGCAAAAGUAUGGCAGCACAUAACAAGCAGCCUCAUAGAUUAAAAAUGUUCUACUUGAUGGUGUAUAUCUGCUGGGGAAGUGAGACAGCAGAUACAUCUCAGCUCAAGAACAGAGAGAAAUUCUUUGGCACAAGGUCUGGCUCAGCUCAGUGGCAGUCUGUGUUCACCAGCUGGAAAGGAGUCCCUCGUCC